rnacentral:rRNA from 1 species
GAUGAACGCUGGCGGCGUGCCUAAUACAUGCAAGUCGAGCGAACAGACGAGGAGCUUGCUCCUCUGACGUUAGCGGCGGACGGGUGAGUAACACGUGGAUAACCUACCUAUAAGACUGGGAUAACUUCGGGAAACCGGAGCUAAUACCGGAUAAUAUAUUGAACCGCAUGGUUCAAUAGUGAAAGACGGUUUUGCUGUCACUUAUAGAUGGAUCCGCGCCGCAUUAGCUAGUUGGUAAGGUAACGGCUUACCAAGGCGACGAGGCGUAGCCGACCUGAGAGGGUGAUCGGCCACACUGGAACUGAGACGCGGUCCAGACUCCUGCGAGAGGCAGCAGUAGGGAAUCUUCCGCAAUGGGCGAAAGCCGGACGGAGCAACGCCGCGUGAGUGAUGAAGGUCUUCGGAUCGUAAAACUCUGUUAUUAGGGAAGAACAAAUGUGUAAGUAACUAUGCACGUCUUGACGGUACCUAAUCAGAAAGCCACGGCUAACUACGUG